GAGGAGCCCAGAGCCUGAAUCAGUGUGUGUGUUAGUGGAAGCGUCUGGAAAGGCGCGCGAUACAGGGUGACAGCCCCGUACACAAAAAUGCACAUGCUGUGAGCUCGAUGAGUAGGGCGGGACACGUGGUAUCCUGUCUGAAUAUGGGGGGACCAUCCUCCAAGGCUAAAUACUCCUGACUGACCGAUAGUGAACCAGUACCGUGAGGGAAAGGCGAAAAGAACCCCGGCGAGGGGAGUGAAAAAGAACCUGAAACCGUGUACGUACAAGCAGUGGGAGCCUCUUUUAUGGGGUGACUGCGUACCUUUUGUAUAAUGGGUCAGCGACUUAUAUUCUGUAGCAAGGUUAACCGAAUAGGGGAGCCGAAGGGAAACCGAGUCUUAACUGGGCGUUAAGUUGCAGGGUAUAGACCCGAAACCCGGUGAUCUAGCCAUGGGCAGGUUGAAGGUUGGGUAACACUAACUGGAGGACCGAACCGACUAAUGUUGAAAAAUUAGCGGAUGACUUGUGGCUGGGGGUGAAAGGCCAAUCAAACCGGGAGAUAGCUGGUUCUCCCCGAAAGCUAUUUAGGUAGCGCCUCGUGAAUUCAUCUCCGGGGGUAGAGCACUGUUUCGGCAAGGGGGUCAUCCCGACUUACCAACCCGAUGCAAACUGCGAAUACCGGAGAAUGUUAUCACGGGAGACACACGGCGGGUGCUAACGUCCGUCGUGAAGAGGGAAACAACCCAGACCGCCAGCUAAGGUCCCAAAGUCAUGGUUAAGUGGGAAACGAUGUGGGAAGGCCCAGACAGCCAGGAUGUUGGCUUAGAAGCAGCCAUCAUUUAAAGAAAGCGUAAUAGCUCACUGGUCGAGUCGGCCUGCGCGGAAGAUGUAACGGGGCUAAACCAUGCACCGAAGCUGCGGCAGCGACACUAUGUGUUGUUGGGUAGGGGAGCGUUCUGUAAGCCUGUGAAGGUGUACUGUGAGGUAUGCUGGAGGUAUCAGAAGUGCGAAUGCUGACAUAAGUAACGAUAAAGCGGGUGAAAAGCCCGCUCGCCGGAAGACCAAGGGUUCCUGUCCAACGUUAAUCGGGGCAGGGUGAGUCGACCCCUAAGGCGAGGCCGAAAGGCGUAGUCGAUGGGAAACAGGUUAAUAUUCCUGUACUUGGUGUUACUGCGAAGGGGGGACGGAGAAGGCUAUGUUGGCCGGGCGACGGUUGUCCCGGUUUAAGCGUGUAGGCUGGUUUUCCAGGCAAAUCCGGAAAAUCAAGGCUGAGGCGUGAUGACGAGGCACUACGGUGCUGAAGCAACAAAUGCCCUGCUUCCAGGAAAAGCCUCUAAGCAUCAGGUAACAUCAAAUCGUACCCCAAACCGACACAGGUGGUCAGGUAGAGAAUACCAAGGCGCUUGAGAGAACUCGGGUGAAGGAACUAGGCAAAAUGGUGCCGUAACUUCGGGAGAAGGCACGCUGAUAUGUAGGUGAAGCGACUUGCUCGUGGAGCUGAAAUCAGUCGAAGAUACCAGCUGGCUGCAACUGUUUAUUAAAAACACAGCACUGUGCAAACACGAAAGUGGACGUAUACGGUGUGACGCCUGCCCGGUGCCGGAAGGUUAAUUGAUGGGGUUAGCGGUAACGCGAAGCUCUUGAUCGAAGCCCCGGUAAACGGCGGCCGUAACUAUAACGGUCCUAAGGUAGCGAAAUUCCUUGUCGGGUAAGUUCCGACCUGCACGAAUGGCGUAAUGAUGGCCAGGCUGUCUCCACCCGAGACUCAGUGAAAUUGAACUCGCUGUGAAGAUGCAGUGUACCCGCGGCAAGACGGAAAGACCCCGUGAACCUUUACUAUAGCUUGACACUGAACAUUGAGCCUUGAUGUGUAGGAUAGGUGGGAGGCUUUGAAGUGUGGACGCCAGUCUGCAUGGAGCCGGCCUUGAAAUACCACCCUUUAAUGUUUGAUGUUCUAACGUUGGCCCCUGAUCGGGGUUGCGGACAGUGUCUGGUGGGUAGUUUGACUGGGGCGGUCUCCUCCUAAAGAGUAACGGAGGAGCACGAAGGUUGGCUAAUCCUGGUCGGACAUCAGGAGGUUAGUGCAAUGGCAUAAGCCAGCUUGACUGCGAGCGUGACGGCGCGAGCAGGUGCGAAAGCAGGUCAUAGUGAUCCGGUGGUUCUGAAUGGAAGGGCCAUCGCUCAACGGAUAAAAGGUACUCCGGGGAUAACAGGCUGAUACCGCCCAAGAGUUCAUAUCGACGGCGGUGUUUGGCACCUCGAUGUCGGCUCAUCACAUCCUGGGGCUGAAGUAGGUCCCAAGGGUAUGGCUGUUCGCCAUUUAAAGUGGUACGCGAGCUGGGUUUAGAACGUCGUGAGACAGUUCGGUCCCUAUCUGCCGUGGGCGCUGGAGAACUGAGGGGGGCUGCUCCUAGUACGAGAGGACCGGAGUGGACGCAUCACUGGUGUUCGGGUUGUCAUGCCAAUGGCACUGCCCGGUAGCUAAAUGCGGAAGAGAUAAGUGCUGAAAGCAUCUAAGCACGAAGCUUGCCCCGAGAUGAGUUCUCCCUGAGACUUAGAGUCUCCUGAAGGAACGUUGAAGACGACGACGUUGAUAGGCCGGGUGUGUAAGCGCAGCGAUGCGUUGAGCUAACCGGUACUAAUGAACCGUGAGGCUUAACCUU
rnacentral:rRNA from 1 species